rnacentral:rRNA from 1 species
CGCUGGCGGCACGCCUAACACAUGCAAGUCGAACGAAGUAGCAAUACUUAGUGGCAGACGGGUGAGUAACAUGUAGGUAUCUGCCCUUUGGCCUGGAAUAACACGAGGAAACUUGUGCUAAUACCGGAUAAGUCUUUACGGAGAAAGCUUUAUGCACCAUUGGAUGAGCCUGCACUUGAUUAGUUUGUUGGUGGGGUAAUGGCCUACCAAGACUGUUAUCAAUAGCUGAUUUGAGAGGAUGAUCAGCCACAUUGGGACUGAGACACGGCCCAAACUCCUACGGGAGGCAGCAGUGGGGAAUCUUGCACAAUGGAGGAAACUCUGAUGCAGCGAUGCCGCGUGAGUGAAGAAGGCCCUUGGGUUGUAAAGCUCUUUCGUCGGGGAAGAAAAUGACUGUACCCGAAUAAGAAGGUCCGGCUAACUUCGUGCCAGCAGCCGCGGUAAUACGAAGGGACCUAGCGUAGUUCGGAAUUACUGGGCUUAAAGAGUUCGUAGGUUGUUGAAAAAGUUAGUGGUGAAAUCCCAGAGCUUAACUCUGGAACUGCCAUUAAAACUUUUCAGCUAGAGUAUGAUAGAGGAAAGCAGAAUUUCUAGUGUAGAGGUGAAAUUCGUAGAUAUUAGAAAGAAUACCAAUUGCGAAGGCAGCUUUCUGGAUCAUUACUGACACUGAGGAACGAAAGCAUGGGUAGCGAAGAGGAUUAGAUACCCUCGUAGUCCAUGCCGUAAACGAUGUGUGUUAGACGUUGGAAAUUUAUUUUCAGUGUCGCAGGGAAACCGAUAAACACACCGCCUGGGGAGUACGACC